GUACUGACUUCCAUAUUAUCAUUAGUACUUCUUUCAGCUGUGGGGUCUGUCACUUUGUUUUCAAUAGUUCUAGCUAGUUCAUUCUCUUUACAUUGUUUCAAAGCAUUAAUGACAUCUCUCCAAGAUGCUGUAGGAUUAGCCUGUAACCAUCUCUUAUGUAAAGCCAUUUUCAUGAGGAAGACAAAGAGCAAAUCGUUUCCAGUCAACAACUGGUUUAAGACACUUUGCAAAUAAGAGACAA